AUUUAAAAUUGGUAAAAUGGUACUAAAAAAUGUUGCAAUCUUACCAACAUUCACUCUGUAGGGGCUGUGCAGGAGCCAGGGGGUAGAGCUGUGCUGGCCAUGGGUUCAAUCCCAAGCACCAAUAAAAUAGACAGGGUUGGCAGUUUAGCUCAGUGGUUCUGCCGCCUGCCUCACAAGUGCAAAGUCCUGGGUUCGAUCCCCGGUACAAAAAUAAAUGAAUAAAAUAAAAUAGACAAAGGUAAUAAUGGAGUUUAUUAAAUUUCUUUAUUUCUAUUUUUAGUGUAUGUGCUGCCAAAACAAAAAUGAAAUUCUUUAUGUCUGAUGCUACCGAUCAAACCCAGGGCGUUGUGCAUGCUGGGCAAGUGCUGUUCCCCUGAGCUACAUUGUCAGUCCAAAAUCAGAGAAUUCUCAGCAGAAAGUCACAUCAGUCUCCACUGCAUGAAUGAACGUACCUGUACAUUUAGUCAUUCGAUACCUACUUGCAGUGUAUGUCUCCAGCACUAUGAAGUCACGAAGAACUGGGAUUCCUGAAGGGAGAAGAGGAGGAGAACUAAGCCUUCACAGCCACUCAGCCGGAGUGCCGCUUCCAAAGCCCAGCUCACUGAUGAUUAACGGGCGAGGUGUAAGAGAUGCUAAAGCAGGAAAAGACAGGAAGAUAAAGAACCGAGAGGAGCCAUAGCCACAGAGACCAAAAGUAGCCAAAGUGAUUGCUCUGAAGGAUGGACUGUUCUACCCGCAGGUACAAGCAAAUGUGCAGCAAAGUCUGAAAGCACCCGUGAGUAUAAAAAGCGAGCAGUGGGAGGAUUGGAAGGGAUACAGAACAAAUUAAAUUAUCGUCAUUAACACGAGGGGUAGACGUAUUAAUGGGUCCUCCUGAUGUUGUCUACAGCAACACCGCCACGGGACACGAGCCCAGGGACACCCAACCUCAGGCACCCCGUCAGGGUCACCAGUAAGUUCAACUCAUCCACUAAUUAGUUCACCAGCUUAACCCCCAUUGUUUUCUACCACAAUUGGUGGCCAAAUAAUUAUAAUUAAAAAUGUACACAG
rnacentral:lncRNA from 1 species